GGAACGGUGGCAGAGCGGCCUAAUGCACUUGUCUUGAAAACAAGAGGGUUAAUAGCCCCGAAGGUUCAAAUCCUUUCCGUUCCGCCA
rnacentral:tRNA from 3 species